GCUGGGUGUAGUGGUGCAUACCUGUAAUCCCAGUGGCUCUGGAGGCUGAGGCAGGAGAAUCAUGGUAGAAAGCCAGCCUAGAAAAAGUGAGGUGCUAAGCAACUUGGUGAAACCCUGUCUCUA
rnacentral:sRNA from 1 species